UGGGGAAUUUUGGACAAUGGGCGAAAGCCUGAUCCAGCAAUGCCGCGUGUGUGAAGAAGGCCUUCGGGUUGUAAAGCACUUUUGUCCGGAAAGAAAUCCUUGGCUCUAAUACAGUCGGGGGAUGACGGUACCGGAAGAAUAAGCACCGGCUAACUACGUGCCAGCAGCCGCGGUAAUACGUAGGGUGCAAGCGUUAAUCGGAAUUACUGGGCGUAAAGCGUGCGCAGGCGGUUUGCUAAGACCGAUGUGAAAUCCCCGGGCUCAACCUGGGAACUGCAUUGGUGACUGGCAGGCUAGAGUAUGGCAGAGGGGGGUAGAAUUCCACGUGUAGCAGUGAAAUGCGUAGAGAUGUGGAGGAAUACCGAUGGCGAAGGCAGCCCCCUGGGCCAAUACUGACGCUCAUGCACGAAAGCGUGGGGAGCAAACAGGAUUAGAUACCCUGGUAGUCCACGCCCUAAAACGAUGUCAACUAGUUGUUGGGGGGUUCAUUUCCUUAGUAACGUAGCUAACGCGUGAAGUUGACCGCCUGGGGAGUACGGUCGCAAGAUUAAAACUUAAAGGAAUUGACGGGGUCAUAGCUGUUUCCU
rnacentral:rRNA from 1 species